rnacentral:rRNA from 1 species
GUCCACGCUGUAAACGAUGAGUGCUAGGUGUAGAGUGUAUCGACCCCUUCUGUGCCGCAGUUAACACAAUAAGCACUCCGCCUGGGGAGUACGGCCGCAAGGUUGAAACUCAAAGGAAUUGACGGGGGCCCCGCACAAGCGGUGGAGCAUGUGGUUUAAUUCGACGCAACGCGAAGAACCUUACCAAGGCUUGACAUCCACAGAAUCCCUAGGAAACUAGGGAGUGCCCUUCGGGGAGCUGUGAGACAGGUGGUGCAUGGUUGUCGU